rnacentral:tRNA from 1 species
GGGCUGGUGGUGCAAUAGAUAACGUGUCUGACUACGGAUCAGAAGAUUCUAGGUUUGGCUCCUGACUAGCUCG